rnacentral:rRNA from 1 species
UACGUAGGGUGCGAGCGUUAAUCGGAAUUACUGGGCGUAAAGCGUGCGCAGGCGGUUGUGCAAGACAGGUGUGAAAUCCCCGGGCUUAACCUGGGAACUGCACUUGUGACUGCACGGCUGGAGUACGGCAGAGGGGGAUGGAAUUCCGCGUGUAGCAGUGAAAUGCGUAGAUAUGCGGAGGAACACCGAUGGCGAAGGCAGUCCCCUGGGCCUGUACUGACGCUCAUGCACGAAAGCGUGGGGAGCAAACAGG